AACGUAGGAGACGAGCGUUAUCCGGAUUCACUGGGUGUAAAGCGCGUGCAGGUGGUUUCGUAAGUUGGACGUGAAAUCUCUCGGCUUAACUGGGAGGGGCCGUUCAAUACUGCGGAGCUUGAGGGCAGGAGAGGGAGGUGGAAUUCCCGGUGUAGUGGUGAAAUGCGUAGAUAUCGGGAGGAACACCAGUGGCGAAGGCGGCCUCCUGGCCUGCUCCUGACACUCAGACGCGAAAGCUAGGGGAGCGAACGGG
rnacentral:rRNA from 1 species